GCAGUAUCCUGAGUAUGGCGGGACACGAGGAAUCCUGUCAGAAUUUGCCGGGACCACCCGGUAAGGCUAAAUACUCCCAAGAGACCGAUAGUGAACCAGUACCGUGAGGGAAAGGUGAAAAGUACCCCGAACAGGGGAGUGAAAUAGAACCUGAAACCAUACGCUUACAACCGGUCGGAGCGGCUUCGUGCCGUGACGGCGUGCCUAUUGAAUAAUGAGCCUACGAGUUACUAAUCACUGGCGAGGUUAAGUGCUAGGAAGCACGGAGCCGAAGCGAAAGCGAGUCUGAACAGGGCGGCCAGUCAGUGGUUGUAGACGCGAAACCUUGCGAUCUACCCUUGAGCAGGAUGAAGGUUGGGUAACACCAACUGGAGGUCCGAACGAAUAAGCGUUGAAAAGCUUCUCGAUGACUUGAGGGUAGGGGUGAAAGGCUAAUCAAGCUGGGAAAUAGCUCGUACUCCCCGAAAUGCCUUUAGGGGCAGCGUUGUAAUAAAGAGUCUACUGGAGGUAGAGCUACUGAUUGGAUGCGGGGGCUUCACCGCCUACCAAAUCCUGACAAACUCCGAAUGCCAGU
rnacentral:rRNA from 1 species